GAUGAACGCUGGCGGCGUGCCUAAUACAUGCAAGUCGAGCGAACAGACGAGGAGCUUGCUCCUCUGACGUUAGCGGCGGACGGGUGAGUAACACGUGGAUAACCUACCUAUAAGACUGGGAUAACUUCGGGAAACCGGAGCUAAUGCCGGAUAAUAUAUUGAACCGCAUGGUUCAAUAGUGAAAGACGGUUUUGCUGUCACUUAUAGAUGGAUCCGCGCCGCAUUAGCUAGUUGGUAAGGUAACGGCAUACCAAGGCAACGAUGCGUAGCCGACCUGAGAGGGUGAUCGGCCACACUGGAACUGAGACACGGUCCAGACUCCUACGGGAGGCAGCAGUAGGGAAUCUUCCGCAAUGGGCGAAAGCUUGACGGAGCAACGCCGCGUGAGUGAUGAAGGUCUUCGGAUCGUAAAACUCUGUUAUUAGGGAAGAACAAAUGUGUAAGUAACUAUGCACGUCUUGACGGUACCUAAUCAGAAAGCCACGGCUAACUACGUG
rnacentral:rRNA from 1 species